rnacentral:tRNA from 1 species
GUUAAUGUAGCUUAACUCAGC